UUGGCACAUUGCACUUAGUUAAGUCAUUCCCACCAUGCUAGUUAAAGUAGGGGUUCAAGAAUGGCCUUAGAAGAAAAUCAUAUUGACCAUACUCGUUGCCUACCUUUACUUCAUCAUAUGUUUAUAGGCUUCUCCUGAAUGUAAGCACAUACUUUGCAACCCCAGAACUGGACGAAUACGGUGUAUGAGUCACAAACGAUUGAAGCCUACCACGGUGGAAGGCCACGAAAGAGUGUUCAAAGCACUCUCACGCUUAUCAACUUAAUAAUGGUUUGGUUGAGGGUUUUUAGGUCUCAUGACAUAUAAACUUUCAUUUUAAUCUUAUUAAAACAAUUUUGGUCCUAUUACAACUAUUGGUCCAUUUGAUUGUUUUUAGUUGUAUAUAAUACUCCCACUAUGCUUAUAAAACGGUUUUUAAAGCAAGAGUAUAUGAUAAUACUAACAUAAACUUUGCAUUCAUUUGAUGGACUAUAUAGUUGCCUUAGGGCCUUAGGAUGACUAUGAACCUUUGUUAAGAUUCAACACGAGCCUAGUGUUGAAUCUCGGUCUAGGGAUGGUGAUUGAUUUUAGUUACGCGUUUAAUCACAUUAAGGCGUAGGGAUGGUGAUUGAUUUUAGUUAUGCGUUUAAUCACAUUAAGGCGUGUUGUCUUAGGGGCGUUGGACCCCAACUAUUCCAAUUUCAUGCAUAUCAAAUAAAACAAGAAAAUGAGUACUUUAAAGUAAAGAAAAGCUUAUGCUCUUUUACAACAAUUGAUCAAAACAAAUUACUUUAAAGUAAAGAAGAGCUUAUGCUCUUUUACAACAUUUGAUCAAAUCAAAUUACAACCAAAAUCUAAUCUACACAUUCCCAUGGUUCAAACAAAUUUGAAACGGCCUUUCACAUAGCUCAAUUAUAUUAGGCUUAGGUUCAUAAUCACCAUUUCUUUAAUUAAUUAACGCUUUAACCAAUUAAACUUGAAUGCAACAUUUUCAUUUGGUUUUUGUAUCCAUAAAAUUGAUUUAAAUGGAGCUAAAUGAAAUGAAAAUCCAAUUCUCAUUUAAAGAGACAAAACAAUUUUGUUCUCAACCUAAUUUGGGCCAAAAUGCAAUAACCUCAACUUUUUGGGCUAUGUUGCAAAACUUAAACUUUUGAGCUCAUUUUGUAAAAAUACAAAAGUCCACUACUUCAUGUAAUCACAACUAGAACCCAAAAAUUUCAACAAAUUGAAAAACAUCAUUAAAGAAACAAAACAAUUUGUCCUUUAAUGAUUUUGGGCCUUUACGUAAAAACGUAAACUUUUGGGCCAAAGUGCAAAUACACAAAAGUAUCAAAACUUUAUGUAAUUGCAUAAAAUCCCCAAAAGUACUCCCAUUGAGGGAGUGGCCAGUUUUGGAGAGCAAAGAGAGUGAUGUGUGUGUUGAUUUGUAGUUUUGACAUAAAGCAUGCAAGUGGUGCAAGUGGUGUGUGUGAAAGGGAAUUAAUCCUUUCACACCCACCAAUAAUUCUAUCACCUUUCUAAACAAAUAUCUAAUACAUUUAAACAUUUGAAAAUUCAUAAAACAUAAACUUUAUGAAAUAAAUCAAAACUUUGAAUCAAAACACAAAACUUUUUGUUCUUGGCUAAAUGUCAAGAACAAUGAAGAACAUUCAUGAAAAACUCAAAAAAUUUCCAUGAACAUUUUUCACCCAAAAACAUCCCAAAACCAUUCAAACUUUAGGGAAAUAACAUAUAACCAAACUAGGGUACAUAGGGGUUCCAAAAGUUACUUGAAAACACUUUUAACAAGUCAAACAUGAACCCAAAAAUCCACCCUUUGGAUUUGGCCGAAAAUUCCCAAAAACAUGGCACCAAAUUUUAGCUCCAAUAUUCAUGCUCAUAUGAACUACAUCUACAACAUUUGAGAUGGCAAAUUUUCCAACAAAAUUUACAUUCAAAGAAACAAGAAUAAAGCUUGUAACAUAUUACAAUAUUUAAAUCAAAACCCAAAAGGAUUCACCAACUACUAGACCUAGGCUCUGAUACCACUUGAAGGAAAUUUUGUGAAAAACAUGUUCAUUUAAGCAACAUUUAUUAGCAUGCAACUAACAAUUAAAGGCGGAAUCAUGCUUGUAUGCACUUAAAAACAAAACAUUAACCAUGAAAUUCAAAGCCUAGUAGAUUGGUGAACCAAGACUCAACUCAAGUCAAAGUGAGUUGAGAAAUUUAUACCUUUGUAGAUUCCUCUUUGCAUAAGCAAAGGCUAAUCACCCAAGGAGAGGGCCUUCAUUCCUUGCUUCUUAGAUCCAUGGAUUUGGAUGGAAGAAUAGGUUUCUCCAAAUUCCCAAAAUUGAGAACUUCUAAGUCUCCACAUCAAGGUAAGAUGUGAAGAAGAGAUGAGUGACCUUGGAGGAGAAAGAUUACUAGCUAAUCCCUCCAAGGGUGGCCGGCCUCUUAGAGAGAAAAGGGAGAGAUAUGUUCUCUCCAAUUCUCUAAAAGAAACCCUAAAUGAUUUUGGCUAUAAAGUCAUAUUUAUACCUUUAUUCAUUGGAGUGGCAAACUUGUAAUUAAGUCCAAAACCCACUCCUUUAACAAAAUGGCCGGCCAUAGGGUUUCAUUGGGCUUUUAAGGCCUUCGUGAAUUAUUUGUCAUUAAGUUGUCAUACAACUUAAGUCAAUGGGCUUGACGUUCGAAGCCCAUUGGGCCUUGAGGCCCAAAACUAUCUUGAGGUCUUUAACGAACUUAUUCGUUUGAUUAAUUAACAUAUUAAUUAAUCCUUGCCAUAAAUAAUUAAACCAUUUAAUUAUUCUUACUCAUCUCCAUUGUUUCUUCAAUCUCCACCUUACACGGUAUACGAUCCAUUAGGUUCUUUUUAGCGAGGCAGUGGGCGAUUAAAACCAUUUCAAAUCGAUUGUGAAUUGAAACUUACUUUCAAUUCUCCCUUUAGUGAUUAUACACGUUUAGGGCUUCCACAAACUAUGAGUGACACCUAGCAGCAUAUCAUGGUUACCCAAGCUAAUCAGAAGAGGUGGAGAACCUAUUCAGUUU
rnacentral:lncRNA from 1 species